AUGUGGGAUUUCUAAGACAACUAGGAUGUUGGCUUAGAAGCAGCCACUCAUUUAAAGAGUGCGUAAUAGCUCACUAGUCGAGAGAUCCUGCGCCGAAGAUGUAACGGGGCUCAAACUUACCACCGAAGCUAUGGAUGUGUACUAUGUACACGUGGUAGAGGAGCUUUCUGUACAGGUUGAAGUCAUACCGUAAGGAGUGGUGGACAGUACAGAAGUGAGAAUGCUGGCAUAAGUAGCGAAAAACAAGUGAGAAUCUUGUUGACCGAAUAUCUAAGGUUUCCUGGGAAAGGCUCGUCCUCCCAGGGGUAGUCGGGACCUAAGCCGAGGCCGAAAGGCGUAGGUGAUGGACAACUGGUUGAUAUUCCAGUACCACCAUAAUGCGUUUGACAAAUGGGAUGACGCAGGAGGAUAGGAUGUGCGCACUAUUGGAUGUGCGUCUAAGCACUUAGGGUGUUAAGUAGGCAAAUCCGCUUAACAUUAAGCCUGAGGUGUGAUGGGGAGCCUAUUUUGGCGAAGUAUCUGAUUCCACGCUGCCAAGAAAAGUCUCUAUGGAGCAAAAUGGUGCCCGUACCGCAAACCGACACAGGUAGAUGAGGAGAGAAUCCUAAGGUCGUCGGAAGAAUUAUUGCUAAGGAACUCGGCAAAUUGACCCCGUAACUUAGGGAGAAGGGGUGCCUACGAGAGUAGGCCGCAGUGAAUAGGCUCAAGCAACUGUUUAUCAAAAACACAGG
rnacentral:rRNA from 1 species